CGACGUGAGCAACCUGCCUUUCAGUGGGGGACAACAGUUGGAAACGACUGCUAAUACCGCAUAAUGCAUUUUGACCGCAUGGUCGAGAUGCCAAAGAUUUAUUGCUGAAAGAUGGGCUCGCGUCUGAUUAGAUAGUUGGUGAGGUAACGGCCCACCAAGUCGACGAUCAGUAGCCGGACUGAGAGGUUGAACGGCCACAUUGGGACUGAGAUACGGCCCAG
rnacentral:rRNA from 1 species